rnacentral:rRNA from 1 species
UACGGGGGGGGCAAGCGUUGUUCGGAAUUACUGGGCGUAAAGGGCUCGUAGGCGGCCAACUAAGUCCGACGUGAAAUCCCCAGGCUUAACCUGGGAACUGCGUCGGAUACUGGAUGGCUUGAAUCCGGGAGAGGGAUGCGGAAUUCCAGGUGUAGCGGUGAAAUGCGUAGAUAUCUGGAGGAACACCGGUGGCGAAGGCGGCAUCCUGGACCGGCAUUGACGCUGAGGAGCGAAAGCUAGGGGAGCAAACAGG